AGCAUGAUUAAGACAAUGUGUUGGUUUAGAUUUAUGAUUUAUUCCACCACCAGUUCACCAGAUACCAUCCUCAUCAAUAAGGUCAUCAUGUUCUUUGUCAUCUGCCACACUCAACAUCUUCAAUCAAUGGAAACGGCUUCAAAGACAAGUCUGUUUGGACGUUCUUUUGAUCAGUGGACACAUGGACACGUGUUAAAACUCCCAAACAGCCAUUCUGCAGGAACAAAUCAAACUCUGAUAACCCCUCCUUGUUCUUGGAGCAGCUCCUUUCUGUCCUGACAUUUCCCUCCAUGUGUGUACUUGAUCAGGAACUGACAUUGACACUGAGAGCAUCAGGAGGUUGAUGAGUCCACAUCUCCCAGGUUGAGCAGAUGGAGACAAGCCUGUCCUCUCUGAGAAUGGACGGUCUGGAGGGUGGAGUUGUGACACGUUGUGGACAAGAAGAUGACACA